GAUGAACGCUGGCGGCGUGCCUAAUACAUGCAAGUCGAGCGAACAGACGAGGAGCUUGCUCCUCUGACGUUAGCGGCGGACGGGUGAGUAACACGUGGAUAACCUACCUAUAAGACUGGGAUAACUUCGGGAAACCGGAGCUAAUACCGGAUAAUAUAUUGAACCGCAUGGUUCAAUAGUGAAAAACGGUUUUGCUGUCACUUAUAGAUGGAUCCGCGCCGCAUUAGCUAGUUGGUAAGGUAACGGCUUACCAAGGCAACGAUGCGUAGCCGACCUGAGAGGGGGAUCGCCCCACCGGGACCGGAGCCACGGUCCAGACUCCGAGGGGAGGCGGCAUGGGGGAUUCUCCCGAAUGGGGCAAAGGCCGAACGGGGCACCGCGGGGGGAGUAAUAAAGUUUUUCGGAUCUAAAACUUUUUUUAUGAGGAAAAAAAAAAUGUUUAAGUAACUAUGCCCGUCUGGAGGUUCCCUAACCAGAAACCCACGGCUACCUCCGUC
rnacentral:rRNA from 1 species